rnacentral:rRNA from 1 species
GACGAACGCUGGCGGCGUGCCUAAUACAUGCAAGUUGAGCGCUGAAGGUUGGUACUUGUACCAACUGGAUGAGCAGCGAACGGGUGAGUAAUGCGUGGGGAAUCUGCCUUUGAGCGGGGGACAACAUUUGGAAACGAAUGCUAAUACCGCAUAAAAACUUUAAACACAAGUUUUAAGUUUGAAAGAUGCAAUUGCAUCACUCAAAGAUGAUCCCGCGUUGUAUUAGCUAGUUGGUGAGGUAAAGGCUCACCAAGGCGAUGAUACAUAGCCGACCUGAGAGGGUGAUCAGCCACAUUGGGACUGAGACACGGCCCAAACUCCUACGGGAGGCAGCAGUAGGGAAUCGUCGGCAAUGGACGAAAGUCUGACCGAGCAACGCCGCGUGAGUGAAGAAGGUUUUCGGAUCGUAAAACUCUGUUGGUAGAGAAGAACGUUGGUGAGAGUGGAAAGCUCAUCAAGUGACGGUAACUACCCAGAAAGGGACGGCUAACUACGUG